rnacentral:rRNA from 1 species
AGAGUUUGAUCCUGGCUCAGAACGAUUUCUGGCGGCGUGCCUAACACAUGCAAGUCGUACGAGAAAAUCCGCUUCGGCGGGUGAGUAGAGUGGCGCACGGGUGAGUAACGCGUGGAUAAUCUGCCUUUAAGCUGGGAAUAACUCACCGAAAGGUGGGCUAAUACCCGAUAAUGCUAUGGGACUUCGGUUUUAUAGCCAAAGAGAGCCUCUACAUGUAAGCCUUCACUUAAAGAUGAGUCCGCGUACCAUUAGCUAGUUGGUAGGGUAAUGGCCUACCAAGGCGACGAUGGUUAGCUGGUCUGAGAGGAUGAUCAGCCACACUGGAACUGAGACACGGUCCAGACUCCUACGGGAGGCAGCAGUGAGGAAUAUUGCGCAAUGGGGGCAACCCUGACGCAGCAACGCCGCGUGAGUGAGGAAGGUCUUCGGAUCGUAAAGCUCUGUCGGGUGGGAAGAAGUGUGCAUAGGUUAAUAGCUUGUGCACUUGACGGUACCGCCAAAGGAAGCACCGGCUAACUCCGUGCCAGCAGCCGCGGUAAUACGGGGGGUGCGAGCGUUGUUUCGGAAUCAUUGGGCGUAAAGAACGUGUAUGCGGCUAUGCAAGUCAGAUGUGAAAAUCCCUGGGCUUAACCCAGGAAGUGCAUUGGAAACUGCUUAGCUUGAGUAAGGAAGAGGGAAGUGGAAUUCCUGGUGUAGAGGUGAAAUUCGUAGAUAUCAGGAGGAACACCGGUGGCGAAGGCGACUUCCUGGUCCUAUACUGACGCUGAGACGCGAGAGCGUGGGGAGCAAACAGGAUUAGAUACCCUGGUAGUCCACGCCGUAAACGAUGUUAAAGGAGGUGUUGAGGGUAUUGACCCCUUCCAGUGCCGANAGCUAACGCAUUAAGGAACCGCCCGGGAGACU